UGCUGAUGACGUCUGUCCCUGGGC
rnacentral:piRNA from 1 species